rnacentral:rRNA from 1 species
AGUGAACGCUGGCGGUAGGCCUAACACACGCAAGUCGAACGGCAGCACAGUAAGAGCUUGCUCUUACGGGUGGCGAGUGGCGGACGGGUGAGGAAUACAUCGGAAUCUACUUUUUCGUGGGGGAUAACGUAGGGAAACUUACGCUAAUACCGCAUACGACCUACGGGUGAAAGCAGGGGAUCUUCGGACCUUGCGCGAUUGAAUGAGCCGAUGUCGGAUUAGCUAGUUGGCGGGGUAAAGGCCCACCAAGGCGACGAUCCGUAGCUGGUCUGAGAGGAUGAUCAGCCACACUGGAACUGAGACACGGUCCAGACUCCUACGGGGGGCAGCAGUGGGGAAUAUUGGACAAAGGGCGCAAGCCUGAUCCAGCCAUACCGCGUGGGUGAAGAAGGCCUUCGGGUUGUAAAGCCCUUUUGUUGGGAAAGAAAAGCAGCAGGUUAAUACCCCGCUGUUCUGACGGUACCCAAAGAAUAAGCACCGGCUAACUUCGUG